rnacentral:rRNA from 1 species
CUGACGCUCAUGCACGAAAGCGCGGGUAGCGAACAGGAUUAGAUACCCUGGUAGUCCGCGCGGUAAACGAUGAUUACUCAUUGUGCACACGUAGAUAGGUGUGCGUGACUAAGCGAAAGCGAUAAGUAAUCCACCUGGGGAGUACGGCGGCAACGCUGAAACUCAAAGGAAUUGACGGGGGCCCGCACAAGCGGAGGAACAUGUGGUUUAAUUCGAUGAUACGCGAGGAACCUUACCCGGGCUCAAACGCAUAUUGAAGGAGUAAAAAUAUUCUGGCUUAGCAAUAAGAGAUAUGCGAGGUGCUGCAUGGUUGUCGUCAGCUCGUGCCGUGAGGUGUUGGCUUAAGUGCCAUAACGAGCGCAACCCUUGUCCAUAUUUGCCAGCGGGUCAAGCCGGGAACUCUAUGGAGACUGCCGCCGUAAGGUGCGAGGAAGGUGGGGAUGACGUCAAAUCAGCACGGCCCUUACGUCCGGGGCGACACACGUGUUACAAUGGCCGGUACAGCAGGCAGCGAUAUUGUGAAAUAAAGCCAAUCCUGAAAGCCGGUCUCAGUUCGGACUGGAGUCUGGAACUCGACUCCACGAAGCUGGAUUCGCUAGU